AUCACAGCCACAGGACUAAAAGCCUGGACUUUCACUGGCUGUACAUCUUUACCAUAAUGGCUGGGAAGUGAAUUCCAAACAGAGGUGCCAUCUCAUAAAAUCCAGACCCUUUCAAGUCUAGACAGGAGGCCCUUCCUCUUUUUGGUAAACUAAUAAAAGGUGCUGUAAAGCAAUUAUUUUGGAACAUCAAGCGCCUAUCGCUGUGAGGGCUGCAUAAUAAACAGGGUGAGGCCAUGUCAGUUUGGAUAAUUACGCUCAUCCAACGUGGCGGCAUCGUCUUCAUGGGCAGCAGUCCAAAUUCCUGUGGCAUAGUGCUGUCUGACACAAACUCCUGCACUGUGCAGCAUUCUUGCCCACCUAAGAAGGAGAAACAGCGUGGAAGAAGAGCACCAUGCCGAUCGUACCUUCGCACUGGUUUCCGUAGUAGCCUGGCUUACAGGUGCAGUUGUAGUUUCCAGAGCUGAUUUGCUUGCAGGACUUGCAGCCUUCUUGCUCACAGGGAUCUGGAAAAGUUGAGAAAUUAAAGAUCCGGUGUAACCCGCUUGGCACUGGCAGGUGAAGCUCCCCUCGCCCUCGAUGCAUCGUGCUCCAUUGAGGCAUGGAUUCUCCUGGCACUCGUCAAUGUCUGCAGGCAACACACGUACACGCACGCACACACACACACGCACAGGAUAUUUACUCAGCUGAUUAAUAUAUCCGCCACACCAUUCCCCUCACUCUGAAAGUAUGUGCUUCUGGCUGUGAAAAGUAUUAGAGGUUUGAUACAUCUCUGCAGGCUGGACUGUGGGAACGAGAGGGAGCCUGCAGCCCAUGUAGCACCCGGAGAGGGGGGACAGGAGAGGUGAAAAAGAGAUGGAAAAAGAGAAAGAGGCCACAUCAUAGCGUAAAGCUUACAUUUACAUUUAUGGCAUUUGGCAGACGCUUUAAUCCAGAGUGACUUCCAGAAGUGCUUGGUAAUCAACCUGGAAAGCAUUUCCUUAUGUUAGUACAGAUUGGCCUGAAGAUACCAACAAGGUGAUACAGGAGAAAAUAAGUAAUGUAUUUUAGCUGAUGUGACUAGUGUUCAUUUAGAUGGAUCAUGUCUAAAUUUCAAGCCCGCACUGGAGUGUUUGGCUCAUCACACCACCUGGAAAAUAGUACAUGAGAGUCUAGAUGCUUUUUUGGAUGUUGAUGAACGGUGAGUGAAGAUGUACCAAACUUGUGUUUUACAUGUAUCAUGCAUGCCCAUCCUUUGCCCUUGACAUGCCUGUCACCUCUUUUGUACUCUUUUUUUCUUUUCCUUUUCCCCAGCACACUUCCUUACAUAUUGUAUGUAAAGUGUUUAAGACUCUGGGCUGUGGAUCAGAACGUUGGGUUCAAGCCCCAGCAUAACCAAGCUACCACUGCUGGGGCCCUUGAGCAAGGCCCUUUACCCCCUCUGCUUUAGGGGCACUGCAUCAUGGCUGUUCCUGCACUCUGACCCCAAAGCAGGGAUAUGUGAAGAAAAUAAUUGCACUGUGCUAUAAUGUAUAUUUGACAAAAAUGAAGGCUUCUUAUGUGUUUAAGCCUUUCCAGAGUACUAAUACUCUGCACAUAUUUUUAAGACAAUAGAAAAUAGCCUUUAUUUGUCACAUAUACACUACCAGUCAAAAGUUUGGACACACCUUUUAAUUCAAUGUUUUUUGUUUAGGGGUUUAUUUUCUACAUUCUAGAACAAUACUGGAGAUUUCAAUACUAUGAAAUAACACACAUGGACUUAAGUAAUCCAUAUGUAAUGACAACAAAAAACAGUCAGUUGUUAUUUUAAGACACGAAGGUCAGGUGUUCUGGAAUAGUUCUUGCAUGAACAGUAUUGUCAAGUGCAUUUGCAAAACCCAUCAAGCACCAUGAAGAAACUGGCUCACAUGAAGACCAUCCCAGUAAAGCAAGACCAAAAUUUACCUCUGCUGCAGAGGAGAAGUUCAUUUAGAGUUACCAGCCUCCGAAAUCACCAAUGAACAGCACCUCAGAUUAGAGCCGUUAUGAAGGCUUUACAGAGCAUCAGUAGCAGACAUAUCUCAACAUCAACUGUUCAAAUGAGAUUAUUGUGAAUUUCGGCCGCCUUCAGCAUUGUUUUACAAUGUAGAAAGAAAUAAACAUCAGGAAAAACCAUGGGAUUAGAAGAUGUGUCCAAACUUUUGACUGGUAGUGUACAUUACAGCACAGUGAAAUUCUUUCUUCGCAUAUCCCAUCCUUGGAAGUUGGGGUCAGAGAGCAGGAUCAGCCAUGAUACAGCGCCCCUGGAGCAGAGAGGGUUAAGGGCCUUGCUCAAGGGCCCAACAGUGGCAACUUGGUGGUGGCAACCCCGAUCCAGAGCCUUAACCACUUGAGCCACCACCACCCCUCAAGAUAAUCACCUUUAAAGUAAUGGAUGUGAAAAAACAAUGGGGAAAUGAUAACGUGUGUUUUUUUUUUUUUUAAUAUGUGUAAAUAUCUGCAUUUUUAUGUUCACAAAAACAGGAUAAACAUUUCUGACAUUACAAAAUUUCUCUCAAACUGUUCACAUUUACUGUGAUUUCCUUGGUAAAAAGUAAGAAAAGUGAUAUGAGGUGCAUGCAUUGUUGCUGUAACUUUCUCUCUGGGACACUUUUGUCUUUUGAAACAAACUGGUUUAGAGAAAUGACUUGAAUGUUGUUUUCCGUGUGAACCAGGAAUCAAGGUAAAAUCUAUAGUGUUGAAAAUAAGAACAGCAGUGUAUCAACAGCAGGAAACAAUAUUCUUUUGCUGAUCAUACACUGCUGUUGAGGGAGAUUCUUUAGUGUUGGUGUUUUACACAUUGAACCAUCUCUUGGCCCUCAAAUAAUCUUCCACUGAAUCAAGCUAUAAAGUGCCUAUAUAUACACAUGCACAACUCUUUUAGUUUCUAAACCUCUACAUUCUGUGAAUGUUCUCAUUACUUUAACAUGACUACUGUUUGCAUGUUUUUAUAAGUUGCUCUGGAUUAGAGUCUCUGCCAGAUAAUUAAAUGCAAAUGCCAUGUGUAGCACGCCGAGAUGAUUGCAAUAAGGCAUGGUGGGGUUCAUCUAUUACAGGAGCAGCAAACUGUGAACCGUGGACUAAAGAUGAUGGAUAGAUGAAAAAAAAAAGAGGAAAUUCAGAAUAGGCAUGUAAGUGCAUGUACAUGUGUAGGCAUUUAUAUCUUCAUCCAUUCUGUUCUAUUUAGGCCAAAAUUCCACUUCCGGAAAAUUAUUUUUUGACACAUUAUAUACUUUUCUAAAAAUAUGAAAAUAGUUGUCUAGUAUAUUAUAAUAUCAUCCUGGACUCAGGCACUGGUAGAGUGUUUAUAUUGCAAGAAUCUGUGCCAUAUAACAUCAGAAUAUUAUUGUGUAGAGUUAGUUAACAGAUAUUAUAAUGGUUAAUCUAGACUGCAUUCUAAAGCGUAACAAUACGUAAUUAUGAGCAUUUAUUCAGGCUUGUGUCAGGUAUGUUAAGGUAGAAUGAAUGCUACACAACACCAUGUGAAUGGAUUUAUCAUUAACAGGAGUUAAAGGAGUGCACAGGAAGUUAUCUUACCUGUUUGACAGAGGGCUCCUGUGAAUCCUGGUGGACAGUGGCAGGUAAAGCUGUUCACUCCAUCCGUACACGUGCCUCCGUUCUGACAGGGAUAUGAGGAGCACUCGUCAAUAUCUACACGAACACACAGGAAAAAAAACACACGACUUCACACAUGACAUGUGACCACUGUUAUAAGCGUACAGAGGAAUACAAACAUAGGGAAAUUUGUUAGUCUAUGUGUUUUGGGGUGUUGUCACUUUAUUACCUAUCUGGCAUGUACGGCCGGUGAAGCCAGCCAGGCAUGAGCAAGUGAAAGAAGGAUUUCCAGUGAUGCAGUCAUCAAUGCAACGGCCACCAUUCAGACAGGGCCUCAGGUGUGGACAGACUGACGCUGAAAACAAAUGCAGCUGCCCACCUCCACCUGAGCAUCAUCAAUGCGAAAGACCCAGCGCCCGGGAUACCCCACGUUUGUUGUGGUCUCCACCUCUACUACAUCAUCAGUCCGAGAACCCGGGAUGUUGAAAUAGCGCCUCCCGUCGCC